rnacentral:rRNA from 1 species
UACGUAGGCAGCGAGCGUUGUUCGGAAUUACUGGGCGUAAAGAGCGUGUAGGCGGUGCUCUAAGUCUGUCGUGAAAUCCCUCAGCUUAACUGGGGAACUGCGUCUGACACUGGAUGGCUUGGAUUUGGGAGAGGAAUGCGGAAUUCCAGGUGUAGCGGUGAAAUGCGUAGAUAUCUGGAGGAACACCGGUGGCGAAGGCGGCAUUCUGGACCAAUAUUGACGCUGAGGAGCGAAAGCCAGGGGAGCAAACGGG